UAAAAUUCGGGCUAAAAUGGGGAAAAUACCAAGUUGUGGACGAAAUGGUAAAAAUAGCCAUUUUCGCAUACGAGUGUUGACAAGCCAGCUCGGAAAUCGGAAACGGUCGGAGGCACGCUCACACUAUCCGUAUACCAUCUUGGCAUAAUGGCUUGUAUAUUUUGAGUAUGGCAUGUAUAGCAUUAUAAUCAUUUUAUAUGUAUGGUCUUAUGAUAUGGUUAUUGAGUGGUAUGGAAAUAGAAAUGCUUGGUAAUGAUUAGCCAUUGGAAUGGCUAAUCAUGAUCAUAUUUGGUAUUAUGUAUGUCAAAUUGCUAGCUAAUCCAUGGAAACCAUGAAAUAGGUAAAAUUUACCAUAAAA